rnacentral:rRNA from 1 species
CCCGAAAGCUAUUUAGGUAGCGCCUCGUGAACUCAUCUUCGGGGGUAGAGCACUGUUUCGGCUAGGGGGUCAUCCCGACUUACCAACCCGAUGCAAACUACGAAUACCGAAGAAUGUUAUCACGGGAGACACACGGCGGGUGCUAACGUCCGUCGUGAAGAGGGAAACAACCCAGACCGCCAGCUAAGGUCCCAAAGUCAUGGUUAAGUGGGAAACGAUGUGGGAAGGCACAGACAGCCAGGAUGUUGGCUUAGAAGCAGCCAUCAUUUAAAGAAAGCGUAAUAGCUCACUGGUCGAGUCGGCCUGCGCGGAAGAUGUAACGGGGCUAAACCAUGCACCGAAGCUGCGGCAGCGACACUAUGUGUUGUUGGGUAGGGGAGCGUUCUGUAAGCCUGCGAAGGUGUGCUGUGAGGCAUGCUGGAGGUAUCAGAAGUGCGAAUGCUGACAUAAGUAACGAUAAAGCGGGUGAAAAGCCCGCUCGCCGGAAGACCAAGGGUUCCUGUCCAACGUUAAUCGGGGCAGGGUGAGUCGACCCCUAAGGCGAGGCCGAAAGGCGUAGUCGAUGGGAAACAGGUUAAUAUUCCUGUACUUGGUGUUACUGCGAAGGGGGGACGGAGAAGGCUAUGUUAGCCGGGCGACGGUUGUCCCGGUUUAAGCAUGUAGGCUGGUUGUCCAGGCAAAUCCGGAUAAUCAAGGCUGAGGUGUGAUGACGAGGCACUACGGUGCUGAAGUAACAAAUGCCCUGCUUCCAGGAAAAGCCUCUAAGCAUCAGGUAACAUUAAAUCGUACCCCAAACCGACACAGGUGGUCAGGUAGAGAAUACCAAGGCGCUUGAGAGAACUCGGGUGAAGGAACUAGGCAAAAUGGUGCCGUAACUUCGGGAGAAGG